GUACACUCCUGCGGGAGGCAGCAGUGGGGAAUUUUGGACAAUGGGCGAAAGCCUGAUCCAGCAAUGCCGCGUGAGUGAAGAAGGCCUUCGGGUUGUAAAGCUCUUUUGUCAGGGAAGAAACGGUGAGAGCUAAUAUCUCUUGCUAAUGACGGUACCUGAAGAAUAAGCACCGGCUAACUACGUGCCAGCAGCCGCGGUAAUACGUAGGGUGCAAGCGUUAAUCGGAAUUACUGGGCGUAAAGCGUGCGCAGGCGGUUUUGUAAGUCUGAUGUGAAAUCCCCGGGCUCAACCUGGGAAUUGCAUUGGAGACUGCAAGGCUAGAAUCUGGCAGAGGGGGGUAGAAUUCCACGUGUAGCAGUGAAAUGCGUAGAUAUGUGGAGGAACACCGAUGGCGAAGGCAGCCCCCUGGGUCAAGAUUGACGCUCAUGCACGAAAGCGUGGGGAGCAAACAGGAUUAGAUACCCGUGUAGUCCCA
rnacentral:rRNA from 1 species